UACGUAGGGGGCAAGCGUUAUCCGGAUUUACUGGGUGUAAAGGGAGCGUAGACGGCAUGGCAAGUCUGGAGUGAAAGGCCGGGGCCCAACCCCGGGACCGCUCUUGGAACUGUGCGGCUGGAGUGCGGGAGGGGCAGGCGGAAUUCCUAGUGUAGCGGUGAAAUGCGUAGAUAUUAGGAGGAACACCAGUGGCGAAGGCGGCCUGCUGGACGAUGACUGACGUUGAGGCUCGAAAGCGUGGGGAGCAAACAGG
rnacentral:rRNA from 1 species